CAAGUACUCCCUCCGUCCGGAAUUACUUGUCAUCAAAAUGGAUGUGUCUAGAACUAAAAUACAUCUAGAUACAUCCAUUUCAAUGACAAGUAUUUUUGGACGGUGGGAGUACAAG
rnacentral:pre_miRNA from 1 species